UACGGAGACUGCAAGCGUUACUCGGAUUCACUGGGCGUAAAGGAUGUGUAGGCGGUUAGGUAUGUCAGGUGUGAAAGCUCGGGGCUCAACUCCGAAAUUGCGCCUGAAACUACCUAACUCGAGUCUCGGAGGGGUAAGUGGAAUUCCCGGUGUAGCGGUGAAAUGCAUAGAUAUCGGGAGGAACACCAAUGGCGAAGGCAACUUACUGGACGAGAACUGACGCUGAGGCAUGAAAGCAUGGGUAGCGAAAGGG
rnacentral:rRNA from 1 species